rnacentral:rRNA from 1 species
AUGCACGCUGGCGGCGUGCCUCAUCCCUGCCAGUCGAGCGCACGGACGAGAAGCUUGCUUCUCUGAUGUUAGCGGCGGACGGGUGAGUAACACGUGGAUAACCUACCUAUAAGACUGGGAUAACUUCGGGAAACCGGAGCUAAUACCGGAUAAUAUUUUGAACCGCAUGGUUCAAAAGUGAAAGACGGUCUUGCUGUCACUUAUAGAUGGAUCCGCGCUGCAUUAGCUAGUUGGUAAGGUAACGGCUUACCAAGGCAACGAUGCAUAGCCGACCUGAGAGGGUGAUCGGCCACGCUGGAACUGAGACACGGUCCAGACUCCUACGGGAGGCAGCAGUAGGGAAUCUUCCGCAAUGGGCGAAAGCCUGACGGAGCAACGCCGCGUGAGUGAUGUAGGUCUUCGGAUCGUAAAACUCUGUUAUUAGGGAAGAACAUAUGUGUAAGUAACUGUGCACAUCUUGACGGUACCUAAUCAGAAAGCCACGGCUAACUACGUG